AGCAGCCGCGGUAAUUCCAGCUCCAAUAGCGUAUAUUAAAGUUGUUGCAGUUAAAAAGCUCGUAGUUGAAUUUCGGGAUCAAUUUAUCGGUCGUGCCAAUGGUAUGAACUGGUACAAUUGGUUUCUCCCUUCUGACGAAGCAUGAUGCCAUUAAUUUGGUGUCGUGGGGAAUCAGGACUGUUACUUUGAAAAAUUAGAGUGUUUAAAGCAAGCAUUAGCUUGAAUACAUUAGCAUGGAAUAAUGAAAUAGGACGUUUGAUCCUAUUUCGUUGGUUUCUAGGAUCGACGUAAUGAUUAAUAGGGAUAGUUGGGGGCAUUAGUAUUCAAUUGUCAGAGGUGAAAUUCUUGGAUUUAUUGAAGACUAACUACUGCGAAAGCAUUUGCCAAGGAUGUUUUCAUUAAUCAAGAACGAAAGUUAGGGGAUCGAAGACGAUCAGAUACCGUCGUAGUCUUAACCAUAAACUAUGCCGACUAGGGAUCGGAUGAUGUUAAUUUUUAAUGA
rnacentral:rRNA from 1 species